rnacentral:rRNA from 1 species
UACGGGGGGGGCAAGCGUUGUUCGGAAUUACUGGGCGUAAAGGGCGCGUAGGCGGUCCGCUAAGUUGGAUGUGAAAACUCUGGGCUCAACCCAGAGCCUGCAUUCAAAACUGACGGGCUAGAGUUCUGGAGGGGGUAGCGGAAUUCCUGGUGUAGCGGUGAAAUGCGUAGAUAUCAGGAGGAACACCGGUGGCGAAGGCGGCUACCUGGACAGAAACUGACGCUGAGGCGCGAAAGCUAGGGGAGCAAACAGG